UGUGGUUCUCUGGGGGACCCAUCAAUGGCACUUUCACUGGCCUCUCUCACAAGGCCAACGUGGGUGGUCCUCAAACCCCGUGUCUGGGAUCACCAGUGCAUCUGAGUCUUGUCCACUGAAAAACGUAUAGUCGGAUAGGCCUUUGGUAAAUUUAAAUAUGUGUGAAGGAUGACAGGGUGAAGGGACACCAGGGAGUCCCAUUUCCUAGAUGGCUGCAACUAGGAACAAGCAGGCCUAAAAAAGAGCUCAAAUUUAGAUCAGGCUCCUAUCAGUCCUGAGAGAGGGACUCUCUGUCCACAAGCUUGUUAUAAUUAUCUCUUUAAAUCAGUUGAGCCGGAUGUCCAACCCCCAUCCUGCUGACUGGCUGGAAGUUCAAUAUCAACUAUGUUUGGGACUAGCUCCCAGAGCCAUCCCAAGGUCCUAGGUAUUUAAGAAGGCCACUGUAGGUCUUUGGUUCCUUCCCAGUCUGAGGCCUCCUCAUGGUCCUGCUUCUCCACUGAGUCUGGAAACCCUGCAGAAGCUGACCCAGGGCUAGGGUCACUCCCUGGGCACACCCACAGCUAGACCCUCUCCCCACUUCUCCCUCCCCUGCCCAGUCCUAGGAAGCCCCACUCUCCUGUUCCACUCCAUCUGUCUGCUCCCUACAUAGUCCAGCCCCACGUGGGAUGAACAAAAGAGGGAUGAAAGGAAGGGUCUACAGGGGCAUCUUCUUCUUCUUCUUCUUUUUUUCUCUGUCCUUCUUUGACACUUCCUGGACUAAGAGAGGAAAAAAUACAGUGAGAACCAAAUGUCAUAUCUUCAUCAAUUAUCCUUUGGUCCAAAGCCCUCUCUGGAGGAUCCUCACCGUAGCCUCAUUCAUGAUGGAGACCAGCCUGUCUGGUCUUAAGGCCCCAUUUAAAUAUGAGGAAUCUAUAAUCAAGGACAUAACCACUGUGACCCACUUCACACAAAUAAUAGCUUGCCAGUGCCAGACUCAAACCAAGCUGUCCAGCUCUCUCUGCGUGUUGCAACCUCAUCUCCCCUACUGAGUCAUUCUGAAGUUGAGGGGUGCACUUAAAUAAGAAAAACUGCCUCUUUUUCCCUUGAAGGUCACUGACCCAUGGGAGGGAGCUGGAGGAAUCUCU
rnacentral:lncRNA from 1 species